GACGAACGCUGGCGGCGUGCUUAACACAUGCAAGUCGAACGGAAAGGCCCUGCUUUUGUGGGUUGCUCAAGGGGGAAACGGGUAAGUAACCGUUGGGAACCUUGCCCUGUACUUUGGGAAAACUCCGGGAAAUUGGGCCUAAUACCGAAUGGGGGCUCCUGCGGCUGGGGGGGGGUGGCAAGAUUUGGGCGGUUGGGGAUGGACUCGCGGCUUACCGGCUUGUGGGUGGGGUAGUGGCUUACCAAGGCUUUGGCGGGAAGCCGGCCUGAGAGGGUGACCGGCCACAUUGGGACUGAGAUACGGCCCAGACUCCUACGGGAGGCAGCAGUGGGGAAUAUUGCACAAUGGGCGGAAGCCUGAUGCAGCAACGCCGCGUGCGGGAUGACGGCCUUCGGGUUGUAAACCGCUUUCGCCUGUGACGAAGCGUGAGUGACGGUAAUGGGUAAAGAAGCACCGGCUAACUACGUG
rnacentral:rRNA from 1 species